rfam:Bombyx mori DNA, contig: Bm_scaf69_contig30754, strain: p50T/Dazao, build 2, whole genome shotgun sequence.
UUAGCUCAUAUUUGUAUGGAAUGGGAUCGUUUGCCUGCGUUAGCCGCUAGGGGCGCUGUUCCAACUGCAUACAAAACUGGGUUA